GACGAACGCUGGCGGCGUGCCUAAUACAUGCAAGUAGGACGCAGUUGCGAAUGGGUGAGUAACGCCUUGGUAUCUGCUUAUUAGAGGGGGAUAACUAUUGGAAACGAUAGCCAAUACCGCACACUCGUAGAUGGACCUGCGUUGUAUUAGCUAGUAGGUAGGGUAAUGGCCUGCCUUGGCAACGAUACAUAGCCGACGGGAGAAGGGGAUCGACCACGCAGGGACAGAGAGACAGCCCAGACUCCUACGGGAGGCAGCAGUAGGGAGUCUUCGGGGAUAGGGGAAAACCGGACCAAGCAACGCCGCGAGAGUGAGGAAGGUUUUCGGAUCGUAAAGCUCUGUAGUUAAAGAAGCGGUACUUAGCGAAAAAGGGACGGCUAACUACGUGCCAGCAGCCGCGGUAAUUC
rnacentral:rRNA from 1 species